UACGGAGGAUGCAAGUGUUAUCCGGAAUCACUGGGCGUAAAGGGCGCGUAGGCGGCUCAUGAAGGCUGUGGUGAAAGUCCGGGCUCAACCUCGGAUCGGCCGUGGCGACUCGUGGGCUGGAGCACUGUAGAGGCGGGUGGAAUUCCGGGUGUAGCGGUGGAAUGCGUAGAGAUCCGGAAGAACACCAGUGGCGAAGGCGGCCCGCUGGGCAGUGGCUGACGCUGAGGCGCGACAGCGUGGGGAGCAAACAGG
rnacentral:rRNA from 1 species